AGGUGUGAUCAUACCAACACUAAUGCACCAGAUACCAUCAGAACUCCGCAGAUAAGCAUGCUUGGGUGAGAGUAGUACUAGGAUGGGUGACCUCCUGCAACGUCCUCGUGUUGCACCUC
rnacentral:rRNA from 2 species